UUUCAACAAUGGAUCUCUUGGCUCUCGCAUCGAUGAAGAACGCAGCAAAAUGCGAUAAGUAAUAUGAAUUGCAGAAUUCCGUGAAUCAUCAAAUUUUUGAACGCAAAUUGCACUUCUUGGUAUUCCGAGGAGUACACAUGCUUGAGGGUCAGUUA
rnacentral:rRNA from 1 species